CACUGGUCGAGUGAUCCUGCGCCGAAGAUUUCCGGGGCUAAAACUUACUACCGAAGCUACGGCAUCAGUAAUGAUGGGUAGGGGAGCUUCCCAUACGGGUUGAAGCAUGACCGUAAGGACAUGUGGACAGUAUGGGAGUGAGAAUGUUGGCAUGAGUAGCGAGAUGUGGGUGAGAAUCCCACAGGCCGUAAACCCAAGGUUUCCAGGGGAAGGUUCGUCCGCCCUGGGUUAGUCGGGACCUAAGCUGAGGCCGAAAGGCGUAGGUGAUGGACAACAGGUUGAUAUUCCUGUACUACCGAUAACCGUUUGAGAGAGGGGAUGACACAGUAGGAUAAGCUAAGCACACUGUUGGUUAUGUGUGCCCAAGCAUUGAGGCAGUCAAAGUAGGCAAAUCCGCUUUGAUAAUGCUGGGAUGUGAUGGGGAGCGAAAUUUAGUAGCGAAGUAGCUGAUUUCACACUGUCAAGAAAAGUCUCUAUCGAGGUUAAAGGUACCCGUACCGCAAACCGACACAGGUGGGUGAGGAGAGUAUCCUAAGGCCAGCGAGAGAACUGUUGUUAAGGAACUCGGCAAAAUGACCCCGUAACUUAGGGAUAAGGGGUGCCACCAUCA
rnacentral:rRNA from 1 species